ACGGGGCCCGCACAAGCGGAGGAACAUGUGGUUUAAUUCGAUGAUACGCGAGGAACCUUACCCGGGCUUGAAAUGCAUCUGACGUAGGCAGAGACGUCUAUUCCCUUCGGGGCAGAUGUGUAGGUGCUGCAUGGUUGUCGUCAGCUCGUGCCGUGAGGUGUCGGCUUAAGUGCCAUAACGAGCGCAACCCUCAUCAUUAGUUACCAACAGGUUAAGCUGGGGACUCUAGUGAGACUGCCAUCGUAAGAUGCGAGGAAGGUGGGGAUGACGUCAAAUCAGCACGGCCCUUACGUCCGGGGCGACACACGUGUUACAAUGGGUGGUACAAAGGGCAGCUACCUGGCGACAGGAUGCUAAUCUCCAAAACCACUCUCAGUUCGGAUCGGAGUCUGCAACUCGACUCCGUGAAGCUGGAUUCGCUAGUAAUCGCGCAUCAGCCAUGGCGCGGUGAAUACGUUCCCGGGCCUU
rnacentral:rRNA from 1 species